rnacentral:rRNA from 1 species
AACGAACGCUGGCGGCAUGCCUAACACAUGCAAGUCGAACGAGACCUUCGGGUCUAGGGGCGCACGGGGGCGUAACGCGGGGGAACCUGCCCUUAGGUUCGGAAUAACUCCCCGAAAGGGGUGCUAAUACCGGAGAAUGUCUUCGGACCAAAGAUUUAUCGCCUUUGGAUGGGCCCGCGUUGGAUUAGGUAGUUGGUAGGGUAAAAGCCUACCAAGGCGACGAUCCAUGGCUGGUCUGAGAGGAUGCUCAGCAACACUGGGACUGAGACCCGGCCCCGACUCCUACGGGAGGGAGCAGUGGGGAAUAUUGGACAAUGGGCGCAAGCCUGAUCCAGCAAUGCCGCGUGAGUGAUGAAGGCCUUAGGGUUGUAAAGCUCUUUUACCCGGGAUGAUAAUGACAGUACCGGGAGAAUAAGCUCCGGCUAACUCCGUG